rnacentral:rRNA from 1 species
CCAGUGGCGGCGUGCUUACACAUGCAAGUCGAACGGUGAAGCAGAGCUUGCUCUGUGGAUCAGUGGCGAACGGGUGAGUAACACGUGAGCAAUCUGCCCCUGACUCUGGGAUAAGCGCUGGAAACGGCGUCUAAUACCGGAUACGAGCCGCGACCGCAUGGUCAGUAGCUGGAAAGAAUUUCGGUCAGGGAUGAGCUCGCGGCCUAUCAGCUUGUUGGUGAGGUAAUGGCUCACCAAGGCGUCGACGGGUAGCCGGCCUGAGAGGGUGACCGGCCACACUGGGACUGAGACACGGCCCAGACUCCUACGGGAGGCAGCAGUGGGGAAUAUUGCACAAUGGGCGCAAGCCUGAUGCAGCAACGCCGCGUGAGGGAUGACGGCCUUCGGGUUGUAAACCUCUUUUAGCAGGGAAGAAGCGAAAGUGACGGUACCUGCAGAAAAAGCGCCGGCUAACUACGUGCCAGCAGCCGCGGUAAUACGUAGGGCGCAAGCGUUAUCCGGAAUUAUUGGGCGUAAAGAGCUCGUAGGCGGUCUGUCGCGUCUGCUGUGAAAACCCGAGGCUCAACCUCGGGCCUGCAGUGGGUACGGGCAGACUAGAGUGCGGUAGGGGAGAUUGGAAUUCCUGGUGUAGCGGUGGAAUGCGCAGAUAUCAGGAGGAACACCGAUGGCGAAGGCAGAUCUCUGGGCCGUAACUGACGCUGAGGAGCGAAAGGGUGGGGAGCAAACAGGCUUAGAUACCCUGGUAGUCCACCCCGUAAACGUUGGGAACUAGUUGUGGGGUCCAUUCCACGGAUUCCGUGACGCAGCUAACGCAUUAAGUUCCCCGCCUGGGGAGUACGGCCGCAAGGCUAAAACUCAAAGGAAUUGACGGGGACCCGCACAAGCGGCGGAGCAUGCGGAUUAAUUCGAUGCAACGCGAAGAACCUUACCAAGGCUUGACAUAUAGAGGAAACGUCUGGAAACAGUCGCCCCGCAAGGUCUCUAUACAGGUGGUGCAUGGUUGUCGUCAGCUCGUGUCGUGAGAUGUUGGGUUAAGUCCCGCAACGAGCGCAACCCUCGUUCUAUGUUGCCAGCACGUAAUGGUGGGAACUCAUGGGAUACUGCCGGGGUCAACUCGGAGGAAGGUGGGGAUGACGUCAAAUCAUCAUGCCCCUUAUGUCUUGGGCUUCACGCAUGCUACAAUGGCCGGUACAAAGGGCUGCAAUACCGUGAGGUGGAGCGAAUCCCAAAAAGCCGGUCCCAGUUCGGAUUGAGGUCUGCAACUCGACCUCAUGAAGUCGGAGUCGCUAGUAAUCGCAGAUCAGCAACGCUGCGGUGAAUACGUUCCCGGGUCUUGUACACACCGCCCGUCAAGUCAUGAAAGUCGGUAACACCUGAAGCCGGUGGCCCAACCCUUGUGGAGGGAGCCGUCGAAGGGGAUCCAAU